GGGGCCGAUCGGUUUCGACGAUCUGUCGUGAUCAUGGGGAAGCGAGCCGUGGACGCCAAGUGACCACGUUAAAACCCCUUGCGCAACCCAAUAAGUGCCGAAUCUAAGCGCACUGACUUCGCCCUCGCUGCCUAAUCCAGCGACCGCGAGUCUGUCAGCCUGAGUUUGCUAUCGACUCAGAGUCUGGCAUCAGCUAGAUAGCCACUGGAGAGACUCCCUCGCCGCAGGGGAGGCUCUCGACAAUUUAUGCGGCUGGGUCUGUCAGGCGCUUGUCUGCAUGACGCCUGGGACCGAGCAACACUGCUUAGCAGACUGCGCUCGGAGAAGCCCAUGUGACUACAGAUCGGACGCGGGUUCAAUUCCCGCCGGCUCCACUU
rnacentral:tmRNA from 1 species